UCGAACGAGAAAGUGGAGCAAUCCAUGAGUAAAGUGGCGACCGGGUGAGUAACACGUGACUAACCUACCUCCGAGUGGGGAAUAACUCCGGGAAACCGGGGCUAAUACCGCAUAACAUCGCGAGAUCAAAGCAGCAAUGCGCUUGGAGAGGGGGUCGCGGCUGAUUAGCUAGUUGGCGGGGUAACGGCCCACCAAGGCGAAGAUCGGUAUCCGGCCUGAGAGGGCGCACGGACACACUGGAACUGAAACACGGUCCAGACUCCUACGGGAGGCAGCAGUGGGGAAUUUUGCGCAAUGGGGGAAACCCUGACGCAGCAACGCCGCGUGGAGGAUGAAGCCCUUUGGGGCGUAAACUCCUUUCGACCAAGACGAUAAUGACGGUACUGGUGGAAGAAGCACCGGCUAACUCUGUGCCAGCAGCCGCGGUAAUACAGAGGGUGCAAGCGUUGUUCGGAAUUAUUGGGCGUAAAGGGCGCGUUUGCGGUGCCACAAGUCACCUGUGA
rnacentral:rRNA from 1 species